AAGUCGUAACAAGGUUUCCGUAGGUGAACCUGCGGAAGGAUCAUUAUCGUGGGGCUUCGGCCCCGUCGAGAUAGCACCCUUGCCUUUAUGAGUACCUUGGUUCCCUCCCCCGUACCCUCGGGGAGCGGGAGGGACCUCGUCUGUUUCCCCAACGGUAACCCCGCGGGGACACGAAACACGCUGUAAGCACCUGUAACAGUCUGAUAAACAAACAAAAAAUCAAAACUUUCAACAACGGAUCUCUUGGUUCUG
rnacentral:misc_RNA from 1 species